rnacentral:misc_RNA from 1 species
UUUCCGUAGGUGAACCUGCGGAAGGAUCAUUGCCACACACGAUCCAAGAUCGACACUUUUUGUGAACUGUAAACUUUUUUGUUGUAUUUUUCGUUGUGAGAAAAGAAGUAACAUUCUUUUUAAUAUUCUUCGAAGAACUCAAUGAAAACUUUUUAAACACCAACUUAAAACAAAAAUGAUUUAUACAUUGGAACUUAAAUGUUAUAGCAAGUUCGUCUUGAUAUAACGCUAGAUUAUUAAUUGUAAAACAACUUUUAACAAUGGAUAUCUAGGUUCUU